UUUUGCUGUAACCCUUCGGGGGGGUGCUUGCGGGAACUCGGUGAACUGUCAUGUUGGCGCGUUCUCACUGCGUUGGCUGUCUGGUGCGGGCGGGAGUCGUCUCUGGUGGCUUCCCGUAGGGGUGGCUUCCGAGUCGUUGAAUGCGGCGGACCGCUUCAGGCUGGCAACAGAGCAGAGAAAAGCUUCAGCUUCUGCUACCCACCAGAUCGCGGCCCGCGGUGCGCGC
rnacentral:SRP_RNA from 1 species